UGAGGAAUAUUGGUCAAUGGGCGAGAGCCUGAACCAGCCAAGUAGCGUGCAGGAUGACGGCCCUAUGGGUUGUAAACUGCUUUUAUGCGGGGAUAAAGUGCGUGACGUGUCAUGCAUUGCAGGUACCGCAUGAAUAAGGACCGGCUAAUUCCGUGCCAGCAGCCGCGGUAAUACGGAAGGUCCGGGCGUUAUCCGGAUUUAUUGGGUUUAAAGGGAGCGUAGGCCGCCAGAUAAGCGUGUUGUGAAAUGUACCGGCUCAACCGGUGAAUUGCAGCGCGAACUGUUUGGCUUGAGUGCACGGUAAGCAGGCGGAAUUCAUGGUGUAGCGGUGAAAUGCUUAGAUAUCAUGAGGAACUCCGAUUGCGAAGGCAGCUUGCUGCAGUGCGACUGACGCUGAUGCUCGAAGGUGCGGGUAUCAAACAGG
rnacentral:rRNA from 2 species